UUUGUAUUUUUUAGCAGAGACGGGGUUUCACCAUGUUGACCAGGAUGGUCUCGAUCUCUUGACCUCGUGAUCCACCCGCCUCGGCCUCCCAAAGUGCUGGGAUUACAGGCUUGAGCGACCGCGCCUGGCCUGGAAAUAACUUUUUAAA